UACGUAGGGGGCAAGCGUUGUCCGGAUUUAUUGGGCGUAAAGAGCGUGUAGGCGCCAAGCAGGUCAGCUGUGAAAACUCGAGGCUCAACCUCCGAGACGUCGGUUGAAACCGCUUGGCUAGAGUCCGGAAGAGGAGAGUGGAAUUCCCGGUGUAGCGGUGAAAUGCGCAGAUAUCGGGAAGAACACCCGUGGCGAAGGCGGCUCUCUGGGACGGUACUGACGCUGAGACGCGAAAGCGUGGGGAGCGAACCAGG
rnacentral:rRNA from 1 species